rnacentral:tRNA from 1 species
GGGCUGAUAGUUCAGUUGGUAAAGUGUUUGCCUUGCAAGCAUGAGAUCCUAGGUUAAAUUCCCAGGACUCAGGUUA